rnacentral:rRNA from 1 species
UAGGGAAUCUUCGGCAAUGGGGGCAACCCUGACCGAGCAACGCCGCGUGAGUGAAGAAGGUUUUCGGAUCGUAAAGCUCUGUUGUAAGAGAAGAACGUGUGUGAGAGUGGAAAGUUCACACAGUGACGGUAACUUACCAGAAAGGGACGGCUAACUACGUGCCAGCAGCCGCGGUAAUACGUAGGUCCCGAGCGUUGUCCGGAUUUAUUGGGCGUAAAGCGAGCGCAGGCGGUUUAAUAAGUCUGAAGUUAAAGGCAGUGGCUUAACCAUUGUUCGCUUUGGAAACUGUUAAACUUGAGUGAACAAGGGGAGAGUGGAAUUCCAUGUGUAGCGGUGAAAUGCGUAGAUAUAUGGAGGAACACCGGUGGCGAAAGCGGCUCUCUGGUCUGUAACUGACGCUGAGGCUCGAAAGCGUGGGGAGCAAACAGG